UGGGAAGCCCACCUCAAGAUGAGUCUUCUCAUGGAGUUAUCCAGUAAGGUCACGGGCAGAACACCCGUUGAUAGGCGUUAAGUGGAAGUCCUGAGAGGGAUGAAGCUGAGGCGUACUAACAGACCGAGGGCUUGACCUC
rnacentral:rRNA from 1 species